rnacentral:rRNA from 1 species
UACGUAGGGCGCAAGCGUUGUCCGGAAUUAUUGGGCGUAAAGAGCUCGUAGGCGGUUUGUCGCGUCUGCUGUGAAAUCCCCAGGCUCAACUUGGGGCGUGCAGUGGGUACGGGCAGACUAGAGUGCGGUAGGGGAGACUGGAAUUCCUGGUGUAGCGGUGGAAUGCGCAGAUAUCAGGAGGAACACCGAUGGCGAAGGCAGGUCUCUGGGCCGUUACUGACGCUGAGGAGCGGAAAGCAUGGGGAGCGAACAGG